UCUCCGUUGGUGAACCAGCGGAGGGAUCAUUAUCGAGUUUAUAACUCCAAAACCCCAUGUGAACUUACCACUUGUUGCUUCGGCGCGCGCUUCGGUGCCGCCGAGGACACUUAAACUCUUUGUUUUUAUAAGCAUUUCUGAGUGGCCGAAAGGCAAAAUACAAAUGAAUCAAAACUUUCAACAACGGAUCUCUUGGUUCUG
rnacentral:misc_RNA from 1 species